ensembl:miRNA gmo-mir-338-1 gmo-mir-338-1
AACAACAUCCUGGUGCUGAUUGAGUAGUUGUGAUAUAACUCCAGCAUCAGUGAUUUUGUUG